UACGUAGGGGGCAAGCGUUGUCCGGAUUUAUUGGGCGUAAAGCGCUCGCAGGUGGUUCGUCGCGUCGUGCGUGAAAGACCCCGGCUCAACUGGGGAGGGUCGUGCGAUACGGGCGAACUGGAGGCCAGUAGGGGGAUGCGGAAUUCCGGGUGUAGUGGUGGAAUGCGUAGAGAUCCGGAGGAACACCAGCGGCGAAGGCGGCAUCCUGGACUGGUCCUGACACUCAGGAGCGAAAGCGUGGGGAGCGAACAGG
rnacentral:rRNA from 1 species